rnacentral:lncRNA from 1 species
UGAUAGUGGAACAGUUAGAGAAAACUAGAAUGUUAGAAGGAUGUCUGUUUCAUGUGAACAAAAACUUUUCAACCCAAUCUGGACAGGGCCAUCUAUAGCACAUUGAGCUGAUAUUUUUACGAGACAACCCCAUUCUAGAAUGUUGUGCUGAUUGUGAUUUGUGAAUAGUUUUAACAGUAAACCAAUUAUUAAUGGCAUUCACGAAUCAUAUAAAAAGAUAUAGCUGACUUUUCCAUUUUUUCUUUGGCCGAAUUGGUUCAGAAAUCAACAAUGAUGUCACUCCUACAGUCUAUGGGAAUACCUCCUAAUAUCUGCUGCCAUAUGUGUGCAUGCAGGAUAUUAAGUGAAGUUUCACUGUGUCAACCUUGUGCAUAGACUAGUUAUAGUUAAAUGACAAAUCACUGGGCAAUUGACAUGGAAAGUAAACCUGCAAGCCUCCUCCUAGGAACCACCUUAGUUUUUUUCUUUUUUCCUUUUGUUUUUUGAGCAACCCACGAGAAGACCCGAUUAACCUUCACCUCAUUCAGGCCUGCGAGACCUUACAUUUUUAUUUUUCAUUUUACUGCGAAAGCUGUUAGAUAUAUGCCCUAGAAGCCAAUAUGGCUGACACAUUAUUAAUUCUGGGACAUUGUUUUGUACUUGACUUUAUUAUUAUUGAAUAAUAAAUGGGCAUUCUUUUCAUUCAUAUUGUUUAUGUGUCUAUGAAUCGUCCAAGGAAUUAAUAAGACGAUACAUAUUCUCAAGAA